rnacentral:rRNA from 1 species
AACGGAAAGGCCCUGCUUGCAGGGUACUCGAGUGGCGAACGGGUGAGUAACACGUGGGUGAUCUGCCCUGCACUUCGGGAUAAGCCUGGGAAACUGGGUCUAAUACCGGAUAGGAGCCAUUUUUAGUGUGAUGGUUGGAAAGUUUUUUCGGUGUAGGAUGAGCUCGCGGCCUAUCAGCUUGUUGGUGGGGUAAUGGCCUACCAAGGCGGCGACGGGUAGCCGGCCUGAGAGGGUGGACGGCCACAUUGGGACUGAGAUACGGCCCAGACUCCUACGGGAGGCAGCAGUGGGGAAUAUUGCACAAUGGGCGCAAGCCUGAUGCAGCGACGCCGCGUGGGGGAUGACGGCCUUCGGGUUGUAAACUCCUUUCGCUAGGGACGAAGCUUUUUGUGACGGUACCUAGAUAAGAAGCACCGGCUAACUACGUGCCAGCAGCCGCGGUAAUACGUAGGGUGCGAGCGUUGUCCGGAAUUACUGGGCGUAAAGGGCUCGUAGGUGGUUUGUCGCGUCGUCUGUGAAAUUCCGGGGCUUAACUCCGGGCGUGCAGGCGAUACGGGCAUAACUUGAGUACUGUAGGGGUAACUGGAAUUCCUGGUGUAGCGGUGAAAUGCGCAGAUAUCAGGAGGACACCGAUGGCGAAGGCAGG